rnacentral:rRNA from 1 species
UACGGGGGGAGCAAGCGUUGUUCGGAUUUACUGGGCGUAAAGAGCGUGUAGGCGGCCAGGUAGGUCCGCUGUGAAAACUCGAGGCUCAACCGCGAGAUGUCGGCGGAAACCAUCUGGCUAGAGUCCGGAAGAGGAGAGUGGAAUUCCUGGUGUAGCGGUGAAAUGCGCAGAUAUCAGGAGGAACACCGGUGGCGAAGGCGGAUCUCUGGGCCUGUUCUGACGCUCAGGCGCGAAAGCUAGGGGAGCAAACAGG